rnacentral:rRNA from 1 species
UACGUAGGGGGCAAGCGUUGUCCGGAUUUAUUGGGCGUAAAGAGCGUGUAGGCGGCUAGGUAGGUCCGUUGUGAAAACUCGAGGCUCAACCUCGAGACGCCGGUGGAAACCAUCUAGCUAGAGUCCGGAAGAGGAGAGUGGAAUUCCUGGUGUAGCGGUGAAAUGCGCAGAUAUCAGGAAGAACACCCGUGGCGAAGGCGGCUCUCUGGGACGUGACUGACGCUGAGACGCGAAAGCGUGGGGAGCGAACGGG